UGAGUGGUCCUGGUAUAUUAG
rnacentral:misc_RNA from 1 species